rnacentral:rRNA from 1 species
GGCUCAUUAAAUCAGUUAUAGUUUAUUUGAUGGUACUUUUACACGGAUAACCGUGAGAAAAUCAGAGCUAAUACGUGCGCAAAUCCCGACUUCUGGAAGGGACGUAUUUAUUAGAUAAAAGGCCGACCGGGCUUUGCAGACCGGCGGGGAAUCAUGAUAACUUAACGAAUCGCAUAGCCUCGGGCUGGCGAUGUUUCAUUCAAAUUUCUGCCCAAUCAACUUUCGAUGGUAGGUUAGAGGCCUACCAUGUGGUAAACGGUUGACGAAGGAUUAGGGUUCGAUUCCGGGAGAGGGGAGCCUGAAAAAACGGCUACCCACAUCCAAGGAAGGCAGCGGGGCGCGCAAAUUACCCAAUCCUGAUACGGGGGGGGUAGUGACAAUAAAAUAAAAAAUACCGGGCAUUUCAUGUCUGGUAAUUGGAAUGAGUACAAUCUAAAUCCCUUAACGGGGAUCCAUUGGGGGGGCAAGUCUGGGGGCCAGCAGCCCGCGGUAAUUCCAGCUCCAAUAGCGUAUUUUUUAAGUUUGUUGCAGUUAAAAAAGCUCGAAGUUGGGAUUUUCGGGGGGGGUUCCAGGCGGCCCGCGCCUUAUGGGGGAGUACUUGCUGGUGGCCCUCUCCUUUCUCUGCUGGGGAACGGGUCUCCUUGGGCUCACACUUGUCCGGGGACUUCGGGUCUCGCGCGAUUGAUAACUUUGAGAGUAAAUAAGAAGGUGUUCCAAAGGCAGGCCUUACGCUCCUUGAAUAACUUUAAGCAUGGGAAAUAUCCGGCGGAAUAAGGAACUUCUGGGCCUUAUCCUCGUUUGGUCCUUGUAGGACCCGGGAGUAAAUUGAUUUAAGGAAGGGACAGUCCGGGGGGCCAUUUCGGUAAUUUUCAAUUUGUCAGGAGGUUGAAAAUUCUUUGGGAAUUUAUUGAAAAGAACGGAACCUAACUUGCCGAAACGCAUUUUGGCCAAAGGGAUUGUUUUUCAUUAAUAUUCAAGAACGAAUGAGACCCGCCGCCCACAACAAAACAAAAAAA